rnacentral:rRNA from 1 species
CCUACGGGUGGCAGCAGUGAGGAAUAUUGGUCAAUGGUCGGGAGACUGAACCAGCCAAGCCGCGUGAGGGAUGAAGGUACAGAGUAUCGUAAACCUCUUUUGUCAGGGAACAAAGGCGGGGACGCGUCCCCGGAUGAGUGUACCUGAAGAAAAAGCAUCGGCUAACUCCGUGCCAGCAGCCGCGGUAAUACGGAGGAUGCGAGCGUUAUCCGGAUUUAUGGGGUUUAAAGGGUGCGCAGGCGGCCUGGUAAGGCAGCGGUCAAAGCCCGGGGCUCAACCGCGGCCCGCCGUUGAAACUGGCAGUCUCGAGUUGGAGAGAAGUAUGCGGAAUGCGCGGUGUAGCGGUGAAAUGCAUAGAUAUCGCGCAGAACUCCGAUUGCGAAGGCAGCAUGCCGGCUCCACACUGACGCUGAGGCACGAAAGCGUGGGUAUCGAACAGGAUUAGAUACCCUGGUAGUC